AGAGGGAGCUCUCGGCAGCUCUGGGGUCCCUCUGCUCGCAGCCGCUGCAGCGCCGCCUGCGCCACUCGGCGGAGACGGAGACCAGCGGCGGCGACGCGCGGACUGGGAGCGACCGCCGAGCAGCCAAGCAGCUGGGAAGGCACGCAGGCCGGCAGGCUUGGAAUACAUGAGGAAGAAGAGUGGGAGACAGGAGGAAAGGUAAGGUUGGGAGAGGGCAAGAGGAAAGGAGGAGAGUAGAGGGAACACUCCAUCGAUUGCCAGCACAAUAAACUGUAUCAUGGACUACUUCAGCCUGGCCCCUGCUUUGCAGUGUGCGUGGAGCAGUUUCCUCUGGGCAGAGUCUCAGAGAUGAUGGCCAAGGCGACUGUGGCCUCAAUGGACUUAACUGAUAGGGCACUUCUCAGUGUGUCACAGGCCUUGGAGGCCCACUUCCAUCUGUCCCCUCAGAGGCUGGGCAGACGCUUUCCCUGCCCUGAUACCUUUGACUCAUGAUGGUAUCGUCAACUGCCCAUCACCUGAGGCAAGGGGCUCCCAACUGUCCUCAGUCCCAAACAGCAGGAACACCUGCCUCCCUGACCCACAUGACAGCAGGGUAGG
rnacentral:lncRNA from 1 species